rnacentral:tRNA from 1 species
GGUCCCGUAGUGUAGCGGGUAUCACGUCGCCCUGUCACGGCGAAGAUCGCGGGUUCGAUCCCCGUCGGGACCG